GGGUCUCAGGUGGAAUUCUUGUUGGGUUUGGAGUGGAAGUUAGACCUGAUUUGAGAAGGCAGCUGGGCGUGGUGUUCAUGUCGGCACGAGGGUGAUCUGGCAUCCGUAGAUCUGACACGCGUGUUGUGUGUCCCAGCGGCGUGUGCUGGACCACAGUGCAUACUGGGGAAUGAAUGCAAGACCUCACUCACUGUUAAAUACGUGGUCUCGGUGGCAAACUCAAAGAAUCCAUACACAGUGUCCAGGCAACUGAAGUAUUUCUUGCUUGACUUUUCUAGAAGCAGACACUACUUAGGGUGAAGCCCUUCUACAAAUGAAGACCCAGGAAGAAGUGAAAGGUACGGAAAGGAACCACGUUGGUGAAAGCCAUGUUCCUGGGAAGAUUCAGAGUGAGCAGGAACUGGGAUGAGGCUACACCCUUCCAAGCCGCAUCCCAGUGGUGUACUUCCUUUAGAAGGCUCUACUUCCUGAAGUGUCCACAACCUCCCAAAACAGCAGGGCUAGUGACUCACAGAUGUGGCCAUAAACUUCUGCCAAGAUCUUUGCAUUUUAAAACCAGAUGAGAUCCCAUUACUAUAGCACGAGAAGGAGCCAUGAUGACAGACGGAGAGGUGUCCAGGUGAUAGGUAAGGAAGCUAGCUGAGCGUGAGCCAGAGGUGACUCAGGAGGCAAGAUUCUUCGAUCGUUUCUACUUCCGUUCCUGCUUGGAUUCUUGUCCCGAUUUCCCUCAGUGAUAGACUGUGACCUGGAAGUGUAAGCAGAAAUAAA